rnacentral:rRNA from 1 species
GUUGUGAAAUCCCCGGGCUCAACCUGGGAAUGGCAAUGGAGACUGCGAGGCUAGAGUUUGGCAGAGGGGGAUAGAAUUCCACGUGUAGCAGUGAAAUGCGUAGAUAUGUGGAGGAACACCGAUGGCGAAGGCAGCCCCCUGGGUCAAAACUGACGCUCAUGCACGAAAGCGUGGGGAGCAAACAGGAUUAGAUACCCUGGUAGUCCACGCCCUAAACGAUGUCUACUAGUUGUCGGGUCUUAAUUGACUUGGUAACGCAGCUAACGCGUGAAGUAGACCGCCUGGGGAGUACGGUCGCAAGAUUAAAACUCAAAGGAAUUGACGGGGACCCGCACA